rnacentral:rRNA from 1 species
CCUACGGGUGGCUGCAGUAGGGAAUAUUGGACAAUGGAGGGAACUCUGAUCCAGCCAUACCGCGUGAAGGAAGAAGGUCCUCUGGAUUGUAAACUUCUUUUGUACGGGAAGAAAUGUUGGUUUGCGAACUAACUUUGACGGUACUGUACGAAUAAGCACCGGCUAACUACGUGCCAGCAGCCGCGGUAAUACGUAGGGUGCAAGCGUUGUCCGGAAUUACUGGGUUUAAAGGGUACGUAGGUGGGCAUCUAAGUCUGGAGUGAAAGUUUGAGGCU